UAGGACGAACGCUGGCGGCGUGCUUAACACAUGCAAGUCGAACGAGGAUACGUGGAAGGGCUUCGGCCUGGAAGGCGUAAUUCGAGUGGCGGACGGGUGAGUAACGCGUGAACAAUCUGUCCCGGACAGGGGAAUAACACUUGGAAACAGGUGCUAAUACCGCAUAAGACCACGCCCUCGCAUGAGGGAGGGGUAAAAGGAGCAAUCCGGUUCGGGGUGAGUUCGCGUCCGAUUAGAUAGUUGGUGAGGUAACGGCCCACCAAGUCGACGAUCGGUAGCCGACCUGAGAGGGUGAUCGGCCACAUUGGAACUGAGAGACGGUCCAAACUCCUACGGGAGGCAGCAGUGGGGAAUAUUGGGCAAUGGGCGAAAGCCCUGACCCAGCAACGCCGCGUGAGUGAAGGAGGCUUUCGGGUUGUAAAGCUCUGUUAUAGGGGACGAAGGAAGUGACGGUACCCUAUAAGGAAGCCCCGGCUAACUACGUGCCAGCAGCUGC
rnacentral:rRNA from 1 species